GUACCAGUAUAUGGCUCAGUUGAUUAGAGUGUGGUGCUGAUAACACCAAGAUUGCAGGUUCAAUCCCUGUAUGGGACA